AAAAAAAACAAACCCUGGUUUCCGUGUCUAACGUUUGAACGUUCGUCUUAUUUGAAAAAAUUAUAAAAAAAAUUAAAAAGAUAAGUCACGCAUAAAGUAUUAAUCAUGUUUUAUCAUCUAACAACAAUGAAAAUACUAAUUAUAAAAUUUUUUUAUAUAAAACGGACAGUCAAACUUUGGCACGGAAACUCAGAGUUUGCCUUUUU
rfam:Oryza sativa Japonica Group DNA, chromosome 2, cultivar: Nipponbare, complete sequence.